rnacentral:lncRNA from 1 species
GGCCCUUUCCGGCCUCCGUUUGAUACAAUUUUUAUAUCACUGUGAUCACCAUUCUUUUCUUUACAGGUUGAUUGGAGCCAAAUCACCAAAACACGAACCUCGUCGGAGAGCCGCCGCACCCGAGAGCACCGCCGCCGGUAAGCUUCGAUUUUUCGUAAUUUUUUUGCCCCCCGAGGGCCCUAGGGUUGUUUUAUCCCAGGGACCGAUGCAAGUGUGGCCAAAUUCGGC